rnacentral:rRNA from 1 species
GUGCACCAGUCGCGAAUCUUCCACAAUGGGGGAAACCCUGAUGGAGCGACGCCGCGUGCGGGAUGAAGGCCCUAUGGGUUGUAAACCGCUGUUCAGUGGAAAGAACAUCCUCCGGCUGAAUAGGUCGGAGGCCUGACGUUACCACUGCAGAAAGUCCCGGCCAACUCCGUGCCAGCAGCCGCGGUAAUACGGGGGGGACGAGCGUUGUCCGGAUUUUACAGGCGUAAAGGGCUAGUAGGCGACUAAUUAAGUUAUAUGUUAAAAUCCCACGGGCUCAACUGUGGUCCUGCAUGUAAUACUGGUUAGAUAGAGUACUGUAGAGGAAGGCAGAAUUCCUGGAGUAGCGGUGGAAUGCGCAGAUAUCAGGAAGAAUACCAAAAAGCAAGGCAGCCUUCUGGGCAGUUACUGACGCUGAAUAGCGAAGGUGUGGGUAGCGAACAGGAUUAGAUACCCGGGUA